CAUUUCUCUCAGUUACACUGAGGUGAGGCCAACUGCUCUGUGUGUGGAAGCCAGAGAAGAAAGCAGCACAGAACAGAUGCAAACCAAGGAGGCUGGAAGAUAAGAGCAGAGCCAUCAGGACACGAGCCCCUCGCGGGUAUGAAACAGGAGUCGUGGGAGCAAAUUAAGCUUCCUGUGUGCAGCAUGGAUCUAAAGCUGGUGGAUGCAGGGGGGUGAACAAGACAACAUCUUCACUUCCUGCAUGCUGAUGGCAGAAGUGAGACAUCAGCGAAGAAACAUCACGAUCACCAAAUUACGAUGAACACCAUGGAGGAAACAAAGGACACUGUGACACCAAGGAAGGAAGGGAGGUUACUUUUCAUAGUGGCUGUAAAUAGAACUGAAGGCUGAAAAACAGCUGUUAAAAUGGCUUGUUUGUUUGAAGAUGAAUGAGAGUACACAAUAAAAGGAAAAAAAUUUGGACACAGACACACACAGAGGGAUGACCACGUGGAGAUGCAGGGAGAGGAUAGCAGCUACAGGCCAGGGCGAGAGGCCUCAGAGGAAACCAGUCCUGCUGACUCUUUGAACUCGGACUUCCAGCCUCCAGAACUGAACCACUGUCUUCCUUUAUCCCAGGAUGUCUGCAAGGAAGAAAAUGUCCUUUUUCUAGCAUUUAGAGGCCACCAACAUUGAAUAACCACACUGGGGUAGACACAGCGGCGAAGAGAUUCCUGCUGUUCCCAUCACAGCAGCCUUGGAGAUGAGAAGACAGAUGGAUCUGACCAGAAGUCUGGAGAACUUCGAGAAAAAAGGAGGAGGACACAAAAGGAAAUAACAAAAAAGAUGCAUCCGGAGCAACUAUGAGGAUGGUAAAUUGGUGUCUAAUUCUGAAAAUCAUAAUUGGUAUAAAUGCUAUGUACUGUGGAAGGAGGGAUGAAGGGUAGAGGGAAUAAAAAAGAACAUGAAGUUAGAAUCCUUGGCAUGAAAGCCUGCCAUUUAUACAAGCAAACAAACAAGAUCAGGGACUAUCAACUGGCUGGCUGAAUUGGACCAAUAGGCAGGUUUAUUCAGCCCCACACUUCAAAAAUUAGGAGAUCUCCAAAUUAAAAUCUGGGAAUCUGACCUUUUGUAACAAAUCAGAGGAUUUGCAACACCAAGAGCAUCAUCACAGGCAACGACCAGCUUGGAUGGGCAGCGGCUGCCCC
rnacentral:lncRNA from 1 species